rnacentral:rRNA from 1 species
UACGGAGGAGGCAAGCGUUAUCCGGAAUUAUUGGGCGCAAAGCGUCCGUAGGUGGCUCUUCAAGUCUGCUGUCAAAGAGUGGGGCUUAACCCUGCAAAGGCAGUGGAAACUGAAAGGCUAGAGAGCCGUAGAGGUAGAGGGAAUUCCCGGUGUAGCGGUGAAAUGCGUAGAGAUCGGGAAGAACAUCGGUGGCGAAAGCGCUCUACUGGACGGUAUCUGACACUGAGGGACGAAAGCUAGGGGAGCGAAUGGG